UUUUAUGGAGAGUUUGAUCCUGGCUCAGAGUGAACGCUGGCGGCGUGCCUAAUACAUGCAAGUCGAACGAUGAAGCUUCUAGCUUGCUAGAAUGCUGAUUAGUGGCGCACGGGUGAGUAACGCAUAGGUUAUGUGCCUCUUAGUUUGGGAUAGCCAUUGGAAACGAUGAUUAAUACCAGAUACUCCCUACGGGGGAAAGAUUUAUCGCUAAGAGAUCAGCCUAUGUCCUAUCAGCUUGUUGGUAAGGUAAUGGCUUACCAAGGCUAUGACGGGUAUCCGGCCUGAGAGGGUGAACGGACACACUGGAACUGAGACACGGUCCAGACUCCUACGGGAGGCAGCAGUAGGGAAUAUUGCUCAAUGGGGGAAACCCUGAAGCAGCAACGCCGCGUGGAGGAUGAAGGUUUUAGGAUUGUAAACUCCUUUUGUUAGAGAAGAUAAUGACGGUAUCUAACGAAUAAGCACCGGCUAACUCCGUGCCAGCAGCCGCGGUAAUACGGAGGGUGCAAGCGUUACUCGGAAUCACUGGGCGUAAAGAGCGCGUAGGCGGGAUAGUCAGUCAGGUGUGAAAUCCUAUGGCUUAACCAUAGAACUGCAUUUGAAACUACUAUUCUAGAGUGUGGGAGAGGUAGGUGGAAUUCUUGGUGUAGGGGUAAAAUCCGUAGAGAUCAAGAGGAAUACUCAUUGCGAAGGCGACCUGCUGGAACAUUACUGACGCUGAUUGCGCGAAAGCGUGGGGAGCAAACAGGAUUAGAUACCCUGGUAGUCCACGCCCUAAACGAUGGAUGCUAGUUGUUGGAGGGCUUAGUCUUUCCAGUAAUGCAGCUAACGCAUUAAGCAUCCCGCCUGGGGAGUACGGUCGCAAGAUUAAAACUCAAAGGAAUAGACGGGGACCCGCACAAGCGGUGGAGCAUGUGGUUUAAUUCGAAGAUACACGAAGAACCUUACCUAGGCUUGACAUUGAGAGAAUCCGCUAGAAAUAGUGGAGUGUCUGGCUUGCUAGACCUUGAAAACAGGUGCUGCACGGCUGUCGUCAGCUCGUGUCGUGAGAUGUUGGGUUAAGUCCCGCAACGAGCGCAACCCCCUUUCUUAGUUGCUAACAGGUUAUGCUGAGAACUCUAAGGAUACUGCCUCCGUAAGGAGGAGGAAGGUGGGGACGACGUCAAGUCAUCAUGGCCCUUACGCCUAGGGCUACACACGUGCUACAAUGGGGUGCACAAAGAGAAGCAAUACUGCGAAGUGGAGCCAAUCUUCAAAACACCUCUCAGUUCGGAUUGUAGGCUGCAACUCGCCUGCAUGAAGCUGGAAUCGCUAGUAAUCGCAAAUCAGCCAUGUUGCGGUGAAUACGUUCCCGGGUCUUGUACUCACCGCCCGUCACACCAUGGGAGUUGUGUUUGCCUUAAGUCAGGAUGCUAAAUUGGCUACUGCCCACGGCACACACAGCGACUGGGGUGAAGUCGUAACAAGGUAACCGUAGGUGAACCUGCGGUUGGAUCACCUCCUUUCUA
rnacentral:rRNA from 1 species